rnacentral:rRNA from 1 species
UACGAAGGGGGCUAGCGUUGCUCGGAAUUACUGGGCGUAAAGCGCACGUAGGCGGUCUCUUAAGUCGGGGGUGAAAUCCUGGAGCUCAACUCCAGAACUGCCUUCGAUACUGGAAGACUCGAGUCCGGGAGAGGUGAGUGGAACUGCGAGUGUAGAGGUGAAAUUCGUAGAUAUUCGCAAGAACACCAGUGGCGAAGGCGGCUCACUGGCCCGGUACUGACGCUGAGGUGCGAAAGCGUGGGGAGCAAACAGG